CAGAAUGAAAAAUAUGCAAAAUUAUUCGGGUUUGAGAUGUAAAUUCUGCUGCCAGAAGGAUGGGUGAGAUGCUUAAUGGAAGAAUUGGGUCUCAGACUAAAGAAUAUUCUGGUAAACCAUAAAACAGAAGACUCACAAAAUCUUCCUCAUCAAAAGACCUCCAGAGAUUCAUGUCUUUCUACCCUGUUUCCUGACCUUAUGAGAUGUCCAGACAACCAGGAUUUGUAAAUCCAUUCCUAAGGAAAACAGAAGUAUAUGACUGUGUAGUUCUUCCCUGAUAACUUCUGAAAUGAUUGGGCAAUUUUAGCCGAUGAGAAUAAGGGUCAUAGUGUUAUUAAUUCCCUGUAAAUGUAAUGAAAGAAAUGGGAUAAACUCAUAUUAUCAUGGAAAAAGCUACAUCACCAGUCCAGCUGUGACAAAGUGAGAAAUCCAUGCUGGACAGAGGAGGAAAAUAUAUAUAAAUAUGUUGCUUCUUGUGGAAACACUUGUGUACCACUAAUCUUCUUUGUUAAACCAAAAAUUAGGUUGAAAACAUUAAGGUUGCAAAGUCCAGUACCUCCAACCUGAUGAAUUUGAAGAAGAUUUUGCAUUUUCUGCUGCUGCAUUAUGACACAGGCUGGAAUCAGACAACAGUGGAAUAUCUUCCCUUGGAUUCGUGCACGGAACGGGAGCUCUUCAGCUGAGUUCAAGAAGCAUUUGGAAAAGGCUCUCAGGGACAUGGUGGGAUUCUUGGGGUUGUCCUAUGUAGGGCCAGGAGUUUGAUGAUCCCUGUGGAUCUCUUCCAACUGAGGAUAUUCCGUGAUUCUGUGAUAUAUCACCCUACAUGUGAGUGCCUCGUGUCUUGUGUGCUCUUCGAACCUGGAGCUCCGAAGACGUCGCUCCUAAUUUGUUUCAUUUGCUCUUCAGUAGAGCAUAUCUGGAAAAUAUCUGAGUGCUUCAGGAAUGUUAGUUAAUUGUCACAACCCCCUGGUGGGGCGAGUGAUUUCCCUGCUAAUAGAUUAGGAGCUCCAGCAUGGGAAUGCCAUCAAAGCCCAGCUCCCCCAGCGCGCCAGGUAACAGGCGGAUCGUGACACUGCAGUCACCCUGUUUGGAACUCACAUCCCUGCACUGCAGGGGGGAUGCAGCUGGGAAGGAACUCUGCUCCAGAAAAUUAGGGACACAGAAAUAACAGCCUACUGGGAAUAGUUUGGUUUGGGUAACUCCAUGACACCAAUGAUGCAUUUUCUUCCUGCAUCCCAUAUGUAACGUUCGCCGAGGCUGACAGAUAUCAGAGACAACAUCUAAAUUUAUAUACAAUUAAAUAUAUUUAUGUACAACUAAAUUUAUACAUAAUUUUGAUUACACGAUUAUACAGAUGAUACAAUUACACAGGUAAUUAUUUUUAUUCAAUUUUUUUCUCUAAUAUUAAUACACAGAGCAAAUGUUUGUUGUGAACUGAAUAAGGGAAAGGCCUGUAAAGAAGUGGUCAGACAAAUAAAUGCUGCAUCACUACAAGUAUCAGGGCACAAAGUUAAAACUGUUUCUUAAGGUCCAAACACUUGAUUUUUUUAGUUUUGGUUUUUUUUGGCAGCAUGUGGGUGAGAGAAGGGCAGAGAGAGGCAGAAAGAGAAAAGAGAAAGGGUCUUGUUGCAGUCCGAGGUUCAAAAUCAUUGUAAUUAAGCCUUAAUUUUUCAUAAAUUAGAAAUUAUUAAGAAGCUAUGGUCAGGGCUGUAAUGUGAGAUGAUCCAAAAAGGAGGAUUUGCUUUGGGAGCCACUGCAGAAUGAAUUGCAACAUGAACAAAGUAAAUGACUUGUAAAUAUAUCUGGUAAUUGGGUAUUAAUGGGAACUCUUGUGCACACCCUGCACAUGCCUCUUUGGAGCUGCAAAAUUGGGCUGUCAUUCAGAGAUUUGACUGUAAGAACCUGUUUUUAAGAAGUCUGGAAAGAAUGGAAAACUCAUGGAUGAGAACACAAGCCAGGAGAGAGACAGAUCAGGACUUUUUAUCUCUGAGCAAAUUGUUUCAUAACAGCUCACUUCAAGGCUUUGGGUUCUCUCUGGGAAACGCCCAAUGGUCAUUUUUAGUCAUUUUUAGUUAUUUUUAGUGAGAAGACAGAGUUCUGACCUGGUGUUGUUCUACCUCUGGCAUUUUGUGAUACGGUUUUAUAAGAUUUCAUCAUUACAGAGGAGAAAUUGUUAAGGUUUUUAAAUCAAAACAGACAAAUACCUCGACAAUCUAAACUAUAAUAGGGGAAAGAUCAAAUUCUCCCCUUGCUUCAAUUCAACCAUCUCAUUAGCAUUAAUAGGGCUGCAUGUGGAACUGAUGGCAAAAUUUGGUUAGAAAACCUUGAAGGACUUCACUUUAAAAAGACAUUUUUAUGUACAGGCCAGGAAAAAAAAAACAGCUGAAACUGAUAAAAUGCAAGUUAUACCACCAUAACAACAGUGCCUAGGAGUAAAAUUUGGGUUUUUUCCCCCCUUCAAGUGGGUAAAUAUCGUUCCCAGACUGGAGCCUUCAUCACAAGCCAACUUUUAACUGCAAGAGGAAUGUCUGAAUUGCCCAGUUAAGCCUUGCAGACCUUUUUCUUUGAUGCUGGAAAUGUUUCUGUGCAGUCAUAUGCUGCAAAACCCACCCUAGUAAGCAGGGAUUUUGUCAGUGUGGUGUCUGCAAAAUUUGGGAAGGGGGAUCAUUUUUAUUGUAGUUUGAUUUUCCCCUUAAAUAUAUUUUGGAGUGUUCUUUGCAAGAAGGUGUCAUACCUUACGUGUUGCCUCCCUGAAUAAAGUCUCAGUUUUAACAGUGCAGUCCCAAAUGUGUUUCGGGGAGGUUUAGAUUGAAUAUAAGGACAAAAAUUCUUCACUGAAAGGGUUGUCAAAUAUUGGAAAAGAUGCCCAGGGAUUUAAAAGCCACGUGGAUGUGGCACUUGGGGACAGGGGUUAGUGAUGCAAAGUCUGGAUUUGAUGGUCUUAGAGGACUUUUUCAACCAAAAUGAUUCUACUGUGGUUCCGUGUUCAUAAUGAAAAUAUCAACAUUUCUGUGUGAAGGGGAAAUUUUGGAAUUGAGGAAAUUUUGGAAUUGUCCUUUGUGCUUCCACAUCAAACACAAAUAAAUAUGUGAUUGCCAUUUACACAUUAUUUAUCCAUCUGGAAGCACAAUAAUGCAGAGGGUGGCAGUUCUGGUCAGAAAUAUUUCCCUUCAUGGGGAGUCAAUGUUUUAAAUAUCAGUAGUACUGUGUAAUCACAGAGUAGAAAAAAAUGUGAUAAAACACUGUAGUAAAAAAAAUACACUUUUAUUCCAGAGCAUGAGACUCAAAACACCUGUGAAUUUUUGUCCUUCCCAGCUUUGUACAGUGCCAAACACAACUUUCCUGCUCUUUCACCUGGCUGUUUGUGCCUGGAAGAAAAUAUUAUAGCCAUAAGAUAUAAAAGACAUCAAGUAUUUCCUUUUUACAGGAAGAGGCAAGGGGCUGAGGCUGCUCUUUGCUGCACUUCCAGAUCAAGGAGACUUUUCACCCUCCAGGUUUUUAACUAUUGUUACUUUGGUAGGUGAGAUGUGCCCCUCACAUGCCCAAAAAUAUCACAACCAGCAAAGGCCAUAACCCUCCUGUACAGCACCAAAGACAACCUGUGGCCCUCAGAAAGGGCACCCAGAGCCCCAGAAAUUCAGAACUUGGCCAGAUCACUGAAAAUCAAGUGCAGGACUUGAGAGCAUGUGUUCUCCUUCCAAUACCUGCACAAAGAAAUGACACUUAAAUUCAACCUGGCAACACCUUCACAGGGUAUCAGCCCUGCACAAUCAGCUGCUUGCAAGAGUCACCAAAUCUCAAUUAAAACCAAGAAAAUGGCACGAUUUUUUGUCCCAAGAGCAACAGAAACCAGGUACUUCAGCAAAGCAAGAUAACUCAAGAGCUGAUGAAUAAAUAAUAGCAGGGGAUGAAUAAUUUAGGUGUGGUGUCAGAUGCCUUGAACAAUCUUUAUCCUUGAAACAAUAAGAUGUGACCACGUGCAGUGUGCGUGUCUGUCAUACAGAGAGGCUGCAGGAUUAAAAACUUGUUUUGGGGAGCUGGACUCUUAAAAUAUCAGAUGCUGAGCAAUGUCACAUGCAACACCUGUCAGGAAGUGAGAGGACAAAGCUCCUGCCCUGAAGUUUAGGAUGGACAUGUGGCUUUUCCCAGGUUGGCUCAGCUGCUGAGGAUGGAGGAAAAUGCUCUGAGGUGAAGCUGAUGAAGGUAUUUCAGCCAUGCAGGGAAUUGUAGGCACUUAAAUUGCAGCUGAUAUAUCGGUAGGAGAAAGUUUUCCCAUGUUUUUCUCCUUAAAAGAGGGAUUGAGAAGGCAAAGGAGCCUUUAGCUACUCUUCGCUUUAUUUAAUGUGACCCAUUAAUGUUGUUCCUUCAGGUGGUUUUGGGUAAUUGAAAAUCCAGACUCAGGCAGCCCUUUGCAAACUCACUUCUCUGGGUUUUUGGUGUCCCUGCUGCCCUCCAAACACACAGACUGCUCCUCUCUGCAGGGAGAUGUUUUGGUGUCCUGGGUAAGUCUUGUGGUGAGGGGUGGCUUUGGAUAAAUGAGGCAAAUUUGAGCUUGCUCAAUCUAAAAGA